UACGGAGGGUGCAAGCGUUAUUCGGAGUUACUGGGCGUAAAGAGUGCGUAGGCGGUUUUCUAAGUUUGGUGUGAAAUCUCCCGGCUUAACUGGGAGGGUGCGCCGAAAACUGGAAGGCUUGAGUAUGGGAGGGGUAAGCGGAAUUCCUGGUGUAGCGGUGAAAUGCGUAGAUAUCAGGAGGAAUACCGAUGGCGAAGGCAGGUCUCUGGGCUGACACUGACGCUCAUGCACGAAAGCGUGGGGAGCAAACAGG
rnacentral:rRNA from 1 species